AGACAUAGAAUGUUAUUACUAUCACGAGAAAGGUCACAUGAGAGAGAAUGUGAGAAGCUAAAAAGAGAGCAACAAGAAGAUGGUGAUGCGAGUGUUUACCGUAAAAGUUCUGGUCUCCAAAAAUUGUUUACUUUACAGGAUCAACCAGUGAAUCCUAGGACAUACGCUCUUGUUAAAUUAUAUUUGAAAGUCUGUGAACACUUCAACAAUGCCCAUGAUUUGAGAAUGUUGUUUAAAG
rnacentral:lncRNA from 1 species